rnacentral:antisense_RNA from 1 species
CUCCUUUGCGUUGUCGAUUCUAAAAUAAUCUUUUCCUCAUUAGGAGUAUUAUUAUUUUUAGGUUCCAUUUGUUGGU